AUCAGAUUUACAGAUGGGGAGACUGGGCUGGGAUUUGAAGCCAGCCAAGUGAAGACUAAGGCAGCAUUCAGUCUGGCCAGAAGAAACAGAUGUCUCAGAAAGCAAAGAGGGUCUUGAUUUAUCUACGUCCUCCUGUUCCCCCAUGAAGCUCAAGUGUUCCAAGGGAUGCACACCCUCCUUCAACUCUGAAUGGUCCACAGAAAACCCAGUGUUGAGUGAUCAGUAAGUGGUCUACGGAUAGGCCUUGGAAAUCACUGUGAAUGCUGGAGAAGACUCCUUUUCAUUGACUGAG
rnacentral:lncRNA from 1 species